rnacentral:rRNA from 1 species
CACGUAGUUAGCCGGUGCUUCUUCUGUAGGUACCGUCACUUUCGCUUCUUCCCUACUGAAAGAGGUUUACAACCCGAAGGCCGUCAUCCCUCACGCGGCGUUGCUGCAUCAGGCUUUCGCCCAUUGUGCAAUAUUCCCCACUGCUGCCUCCCGUAGGAGUCUGGGCCGUGUCUCAGUCCCAGUGUGGCCGGUCGCCCUCUCAGGCCGGCUACCCGUCGUCGCCUUGGUGAGCCGUUACCUCACCAACAAGCUGAUAGGCCGCGAGUCCAUCCCAGACCGAAAAACUUUCCAGACAGUAGUCAUGCGACUCCGUCUCGUAUCCGGUAUUAGCAGCUGUUUCCAACUGUUAUUCCAGAGUCUGGGGCAGGUUACUCACGUGUUACUCACCCGUUCGCCACUGAUCAGGAGGAGCAAGCUCCUCCGUCACCGUUCGACUUGCAUGUGUUAAGCACGCCGCAGCGUGUCCUGAGCCAGGAUCAAACUCU